rnacentral:rRNA from 1 species
UGGGGAAUAUUGGACAAUGGGCGCAAGCCUGAUCCAGCCAUGCCGCGUGAGUGAUGAAGGCUUCAGGGUUGUAAAGCUCUUUCACCGAUGAAGAUAAUGACGGUAGUCGGAGAAGAAGCCCCGGCUAACUUCGUGCCAGCAGCCGCGGUAAUACGAAGGGGGCUAGCGUUGUUCGGAAUUACUGGGCGUAAAGCGCACGUAGGCGGAUAUUUAAGUCAGGGGUGAAAUCCCGCAGCUCAACUGCGGAACUGCCUUUGAUACUGGGUAUCUUGAGUAUGGAAGAGGUUAGUGGAAUUGCNAGUGUAGAGGUGAAAUUCGUAGAUAUUCGCAGGAACACCAGUGGCGAAGGCGGCUAACUGGUCCAUAACUGACGCUGAGGUGCGAAAGCGUGGGGAGCAAAACAGGAUUAGAUACCCUGGUAGUCCACGCCGUAAGCGAUGAAUGUUAGCCGUCGGGCAGUUUACUGUUCGGUGGCGCAGCUAACGCAUUAAACAUUCCGCCUGGGGAGUACGGUCGCAAGAUUAAAACUCAAAUGAAUGACGGGGUCAUAGCUGUUUCC